rnacentral:tRNA from 1 species
GGGCUGUAGCUCAGUUGGGAGAGCACCUGCUUUGCAAGCAGGGGGUCGUCGGUUCGAACCCGAUCAGCUCC